rnacentral:rRNA from 1 species
AUUGAACGCUGGCGGCAGGCCUAACACAUGCAAGUCGGGCGGUAACAGGAAUCAGCUUGCUGAUUCGCUGACGAGCGGCGGACGGGUGAGUAAUGUCCGGGAAACUGCCUGAUGGAGGGGGAGAACUACUGGAAACGGUAGCUAAUACCGCAUAACGUCUACGGACCAAAGUGGGGGACCUUCUGGCCUCCUGCCAUCCGAUGUUCCCAGAUGGGAUUAGCUAGUAGGUGGGGUAACGGCUCACCUAGGCGACGAUCCCUAGCUGGUCUGAGAGGAUGACCAGCCACACUGGAACUGAGACACGGUCCAGACUCCUACGGGAGGCAGCAGUGGGGAAUAUUGCACAAUGGGCGCAAGCCUGAUGCAGCCAUGCCGCGUGUAUGAAGAAGGCCUUCGGGUUGUAAAGUACUUUCAGCGGGGAGGAAGGUGUUGUGGUUAAUAACCGCAGCAAUUGACGUUACCCGCAGAAGAAGCACCGGCUAACUCCGUGCCAGCAGCCGCGGUAA